rnacentral:rRNA from 2 species
UGGAGCUGAAGUCAGUCGAAGAUACCAGCUGGCUGCAACUGUUUAUUAAAAACACAGCACUGUGCAAACACGAAAGUGGACGUAUACGGUGUGACGCCUGCCCGGUGCCGGAAGGUUAAUUGAUGGGGUCAGCGCAAGCGAAGCUCCUGAUCGAAGCCCCGGUAAACGGCGGCCGUAACUAUAACGGUCCUAAGGUAGCGAAAUUCCUUGUCGGGUAAGUUCCGACCUGCACGAAUGGCGUAAUGAUGGCCAGGCUGUCUCCACCCGGGACUCAGUGAAAUUGAACUCGCUGUGAAGAUGCAGUGUACCCGCGGCAAGACGGAAAGACCCCGUGAACCUUUACUAUAGCUUGACACUGAACACUGGUCCUUGAUGUGCAGGAUAGGUGGGAGGCUUUGAAGUGUGGACGCCAGUCUGCAUGGAGCCAUCCUUGAAAUACCACCCUUUAAUGGCUGGUGUUCUAACGUGGGCCCCUGACCGGGGUUGCGGACAGUGUCUGGUGGGUAGUUUGACUGGGGCGGUCUCCUCCUAAAGAGUAACGGAGGAGCACGAAGGUUGGCUAAUCCUGGUCGGACAUCAGGAGGUUAGUGCAAUGGCAUAAGCCAGCUUGACUGCGAGCGUGACGGCGCGAGCAGGUGCGAAAGCAGGUCAUAGUGAUCCGGUGGUUCUGAAUGGAAGGGCCAUCGCUCAACGGAUAAAAGGUACUCCGGGGAUAACAGGCUGAUACCGCCCAAGAGUUCAUAUCGACGGCGGUGUUUGGCACCUCGAUGUCGGCUCAUCACAUCCUGGGGCUGAAGUAGGUCCCAAGGGUAUGGCUGUUCGCCAUUUAAAGUGGUACGCGAGCUGGGUUUAGAACGUCGUGAGACAGUUCGGUCCCUAUCUGCCGUGGGCGCUGGAAGAUUGAGGGGGGCUGCUCCUAGUACGAGAGGACCGGAGUGGACGCAUCACUGGUGUUCGGGUUGUCAUGCCAAUGGCACUGCCCGGUAGCUACAUGCGGAAGAGAUAAGUGCUGAAAGCAUCUAAGCACGAAACUUGCCCCGAGAUGAAUCUUCCCUGAGCCUUUAAGGCUCCUGAAGGAACGUUGAAGACGACGACGUUGAUAGGCCGGGUGUGUAAGCGCAGCGAUGCGUUGAGCUAACCGGUACUAAUGAACCGUGAGGCUUAACCUUACAAC